rnacentral:rRNA from 1 species
GAGUAAUGUCUGGGAAACUGCCUGAUGGAGGGGGAUAACUACUGGAAACGGUAGCUAAUACCGCAUAACGUCGCAAGACCAAAGAGGGGGACCUUCGGGCCUCUUGCCAUCGGAUGUGCCCAGAUGGGAUUAGCUAGUAGGUGGGGUAACGGCUCACCUAGGCGACGAUCCCUAGCUGGUCUGAGAGGAUGACCAGCCACACUGGAACUGAGACACGGUCCAGACUCCUACGGGAGGCAGCAGUGGGGAAUAUUGCACAAUGGGCGCAAGCCUGAUGCA